rnacentral:lncRNA from 1 species
AUGAUUCUGGUUGCGCUGCUACUGAUUUUAUUCGACAUAGAAGCUACAAAUAUCGACGAAGAACAACCUAAAUGCUCCACCUUCCAGAAUCUCACAAAGACACCUAAAUUCAUUGACAAAUCCCUGCUGAUCAGACAUAUCCUGGAUAGCCCCAGACACAUCUACAUAGCAGCUCCACCAGGUUUCGGUAAAUCAACCAACCUGCAGAUGCUCAAGGAGUUUUUCGCCUUGGAGGUGGACUCACGUGGAAAUUUCAUUGAUCCGAUGCAGGUUUUAAAAUCGGACGAGACCUUCCAAGACGCCCUGAAGAGAUGCGUGGGCGACCGUCAGAACACCUCGACAGGACGUGGAACCUUUGUAACCGACACCAAAGGUCAAUGUGCCUACGUGAACGUCACAAAACCUUUCAGCGUUUUAAGAACCCUCUGAAUAGCUACGAUACCUUCUCCAAGUUGCCACUAAAAAUACAUAUGGAAUCGCCGAAUCAUUUCGAGACUCAGUUCGCACGCUAUCCUGUUCUCUUGGUCGACUUCGGAGCUCUAUCUACGAAGUCCUUCCAAGAUUACGUACGUUCCUUUCAAAUACUUGUCUUGAAGCUCUUCGAGCAAUAUCAGUACUUGCUUAAGAGCAGCGCUCUAACUCAAGGUUCCAAGGACAAAUUUUUACUCUUCCAUGACCAAGAACAACACAAGAACUGAGCAUAGACGAGGUACGUAUAGCACUUUUAAGUAUAUUUGAAGUCUGUAUAAUGGCACAAGAGUUAAACAUGUGCUCUGAUCAUACAAAAUGCACUUAUCUGACCUCAUAAUUUAUUUGUAUUAAUCGUCAUGGGCCCAUUUUUAGCUGAAAAAUUGAUAAAAAAGAAUGCAGUCUUGACGUAAUUCUAAUUUUUUCGCGCAACCACUAGAAUUCUGUAAACAGACCAUCCACGGCAACAUAAUGGUCUCCCACACGCCAAAAAAUUGAAGAAAGUAAGUCAGCAACUCCUGUUCUUAAAAAUCAGCCAGCAUUGACAGUAAGAACAGAUGACAGACUCUGACUUACAGUGGUCACUUUGCCCGUGGAUAAGAUUAGGGUGGCAGAUUCCAUGCGCGGUUUGAAUGCGAUGCUAAUGUCAUGGCAAUGGCUCCACUAAUAUUCUGCGUGGGAGCGGUUUAUUUUUAAUGACACGAAAAGAGCAAACCAUAAAAAAUGAUUCUAAGCGUGGCUAAUUUAUUGAGAAUGAGAGCAAAAUCUACUUGGAGAGGUUAUUCAAAACUUGACCUUUGAGUUUGACACGACACCCCUGUUUACAGGUCAUUCUUGGGGGAGAGAAACUCGUUCUUCUGUUGUCAGCUCAUCAUGACCGAAAAUCGAUAGUUUUGGUGGACAACUUCGAUGUGCCCAUUCGUAAGGCUCUGCUGGCGCCACACCUGGACGAGGUAAUCUUUAAGAGGAUCAUGUGGAGUGCUUCUCAUUUUGUCGAGUUGCUCGUAGAAAGCAAGUUCGUCUUUCGGAUCGUGGUGACGGGUAAUCUUAGGAUUGACAUCACAAAUGGAUUAAAGUACCUUUCCAUUUUCGAUGAUGAACAUUUGUAUCGGUGAGCUUCUUUUUUAAUCGAAGAGCGUUUUGCUACUGAUUAAAACAAUACCUCUUAAACACUUCCCAAUUGGACGUAUUUCUAUCAAACGGAACUAUGUGCAUUAAGACAUGAGCCCUGAGACCCAUAAAAAUAUAUGCAUAACAUGAUUGAUUUUAUCAGGUUCUGAGAUAUCGCUAUCAAUUCACAAUGUAAUCGCUAUGUACUGUCAUAUUAUAUGGCUGUAUAAUCUGUAGUUGGAACAUCCUCCGAUUAGAUAUAGUCUGCGGAACAAAUUAAAAGAUUGAUCUAAAGAUAUCCUUAGUUUCGAAUCAGACAACAGCUUCAGAAAUUUGCUUUGUUUUUACAAAAACCU